rnacentral:rRNA from 1 species
GACGUAGGGGGCUAGCGUUGCUCGGAAUCACUGGGCGUAAAGGGUGCGUAGGCGGGUCUUUAAGUCAGGGGUGAAAUCCUGGAGCUCAACUCCAGAACUGCCUUUGAUACUGAAGAUCUUGAGUUCGGGAGAGGUGAGUGGAACUGCGAGUGUAGAGGUGAAAUUCGUAGAUAUUCGCAAGAACACCAGUGGCGAAGGCGGCUCACUGGCCCGAUACUGACGCUGAGGCACGAAAGCGUGGGGAGCAAACAG